AUUUCUCUCUUCCUGUCUUUUCCCAAUUCUUCUUUUAGAUCUCAGCUGGACUGUCCCUUCCUCCAGGAAGCCCUCCCUGAACCAUAGGCUGGGUCAGACACAUUCUCAAGGUUCUCAAAGCUCCCUGGGCUUAACACGAGGCCGGCCUUAAUAAAUGGCAGCAAGACCUUUGGAGUCGCACAGACCUGGACUCAAAUCCUGGUUCUGUCACUUUCUGGAUUCGCAAGCUGAGCCUUGGUGUUUCCUUAUCAAAACUGGGGGUCAAAAUACUCAACUGACAGGAUUGGGAGAAUGGCAAUGACAGAGUAAGGGAGAAAAUGCUCAGUUUGUAAAUGUUAACCUAAUAUCCUCUUCCUGACUUCUGUCAGGAAUUUUAUUCCUGGAAGUACAUCCUACCCACUGGUGUGAAUCUACUCUUGGGUUACAUAGAAUCGUUUUCCGUCUCCUCCCUGAACUCUCUCCCUCCAGACUCACUCCCUUUCAUCUGUCUUCCAUACCGGAGAAUCCCAACUCAGAUGUCCCCUCCUCCAGGAAGCCUUCCCUGACCUCCAGACCCCUGGGAUCCUCUAUCUGAGCUCUGACUGCUCUGGGUCCUCACUGCAUGGUGACAAGUCUGUCUCUCCAACUGGACUGUGAGGCCGAUGCAGGCAGGACCUGAGGCUAACUCGGUCACUGCACUGUCCCCAGCCCCAGAUAGGCACAGAGCAGGCACUUAAUGAAAAAGCUGAUCUGUGGAGGUGCCCAGGAGGUGACCAUGGACAAUGGGUAUGGCUCCUGUCUCUGGCUCCCCCAUCUCCCUUCUCUCUCUCCUGAUGCUUUUGGUGUUAUCUGUCUCUGAUAUAGACCCUUUCCUCGGCCUCAGUGGCUGUCAUUUCUCAGGGCACCAUUUCCUAAGCCCUUUUCUCACUCGACUGUCACAUCUACUUCCAGGGGCCACUCAGAACUUCAGGACCCAAACUCCUAUGCUCAGAUCUCUCUCAGCCCCGGAGCUCCAGGCCACAGGCACUUCAGACACUCUAGGUCACAACACAGUGGCUGACCAAGCCCAGAGAGAUUUCCCCGGGAAAGGAGGGAUAUCUUAACCCACUGAGGCAAGUAAAGUGACGUACUUGGCCACAGUUAACUAUUGUUCAAGAUUUUUCUGAGCAUGAAACUGCAGGUGGCUGGAAUGCAACCCUUUCCUCAGGAAAUGUGCUGCUAAGACCAAACAGCUCCCUCCGUGGUGGGGGACCGGGGCUCGGGAGCUUAUGCACAAAUAGGACAGGCCGGGCGCGGUGGCUCACGCCUGUAAUCC
rnacentral:lncRNA from 10 species